rnacentral:rRNA from 1 species
UACGUAGGGUGCGAGCGUUGUCCGGAAUUACUGGGCGUAAAGCGCACGUAGGCGGCUUUGUAAGUUAGAGGUGAAAGCCCGGGGCUCAACUCCGGAACUGCCUUUAAGACUGCAUCGCUUGAAUCCAGGAGAGGUGAGUGGAAUUCCGAGUGUAGAGGUGAAAUUCGUAGAUAUUCGGAAGAACACCAGUGGCGAAGGCGGCUCACUGGACUGGUAUUGACGCUGAGGUGCGAAAGCGUGGGGAGCAAACAGG